rnacentral:rRNA from 1 species
UACGUAGGGCGCGAGCGUGUCCGGAUUUAUUGGGCGUAAAGAGCUCGUAGGCGGCUUGUCGCGUCGACUGUGAAAAACCCGGCAGCUCAACUGUGGGGCUUGCAGCUGAUACGGGGCAGGCUUGAGUUUCGGUAGGGGGAGACUGGAAUUCCUGGUGUAGCGGUGAAAAUGCGCAGAUAUCAGGGAGGGAAACACCCGGGUGGGCGAA